rnacentral:rRNA from 1 species
UUAAAUGAUCAAAACACAUAGAGCGUACCAGAUCUCAUUUGAUCUUGGAAGCUAAACAGUAUCUGGCCUGGUCAGUAUUAGGGUGGUAGAAGUAUCCCAUAUUUAUUGAAA